rnacentral:rRNA from 1 species
AAGUCGUAACAAGGUUUCCGUAGGUGAACCUGCGGAAGGAUCAUUACCGACGACGGGUUCUUCGGAACCCAUCUCCCACCCGAUGUAUACGUACCGCGUCGUUUCGGCGGACGCUGUGCGCCGCGCCCGCGGGCCGGUGCCGUCCCCGCCCGCCGAAAUCUCCCAUCAUCCCGUCGUAUUUGUGUUGUCCGAAUAUCCAAUCAAUGGCAUAAAACUUUCAACAACGGAUCUCUUGGUUCCGGCAUCGAUGAAGAACGCAGCGAAAUGCGAUAAGUAAUGUGAAUUGCAGAAUUCAGUGAAUCAUCGAAUCUUUGAACGCACAUUGCGCCCCCUGGCAUUCCGGGGGGCAUGCCUGUUCGAGCGUCAUUGCAUCCCUCAAGCCUCGCUUGGUCUUGGAUGGUCGUCCGCGUGCGGACGCCUCCGAAAGUCAGCGGCGGUGCGGUCGAUCCUCAAGCGUAGUCAGACCAUGUCAUUCGCUUCGACGGUGUCGGCCGGGCCGGCCGAACAACCCCCAUCGCUCCCAUCACGAUUGACCUCGGAUCAGGUAGGGAUACCCGCUGAACUUAAGCAUAUCAAUAAGCGGAGGAAAAGAAACCAACAGGGAUUGCCUCAGUAACGGCGAGUGAAGCGGCAACAGCUCAAAUUUGAAAUCUGGCCUCGCGGUCCGAGUUGUAAUUUGCAGAGGGUGUCUCGGGCGCGCGAUCGGUGUAAGUUCCUUGGAACAGGGCGUCAUAGAGGGUGAGAAUCCCGUACGUGACCGAUCGGCAACCCCGUGUGAGGCCCCUUCGACGAGUCGAGUUGUUUGGGAAUGCAGCUCUAAAUGGGUGGUAAAUUUCAUCUAAAGCUAAAUACUGGCCGGAGACCGAUAGCGCACAAGUAGAGUGAUCGAAAGAUGAAAAGCACUUUGGAAAGAGAGUCAAACAGUACGUGAAAUUGUUGAAAGGGAAGCGCUUGCGACCAGACUUGCUCGCGGCCGAUCAUCCGCCCCUCGGGACGGUGCACUCGACCGCGAUCAGGCCAGCAUCGGUUUCGGCGGCCGGACAAAGGGCCCGGGAACGUGGCUUCCCUCGGGAAGCGUUAUAGCCCGGGCCGCCAUGCGGCCAGCCGGGACCGAGGACCGCGCUUCGGCUAGGAUGCUGGCGUAAUGGUCGUCAGCGACC